GGACGGGUGAGUAACGCGUGAGGAACCUGCCUUUCAGAGGGGGACAACAGUUGGAAACGACUGCUAAUACCGCAUGAUACAUUUGGGUGGCAUCAUCUGAAUGUCAAAGAUUUAUCGCUGAAAGAUGGCCUCGCGUCUGAUUAGCUAGUUGGUGGGGUAACGGCCCACCAAGGCGACGAUCAGUAGCCGGACUGAGAGGUUGACCGGCCACAUUGGGACUGAGAUACGGCCCAGACUCCUACGGGAGGCAGCAGUGGGGAAUAUUGGGCAAUGGGCGCAAGCCUGACCCAGCAACGCCGCGUGAAGGAAGAAGGCUUUCGGGUUGUAAACUUCUUUUAAGAGGGAAGAGCAGAAGACUGUACCUCUAGAAUAAGCCACGGCUAACUACGUGCCAGCAGCCGCGGUAAUACGUAGGUGGCAAGCGUUGUCCGGAUUUACUGGGUGUAAAGGGCGUGCAGCCGGGAAUGCAAGUCAGAUGUGAAAUCCAUGGGCUUAACCCAUGAACUGCAUUUGAAACUGUAUUUCUUGAGUACUGGAGAGGCAAUCGGAAUUCCUAGUGUAGCG
rnacentral:rRNA from 1 species